rnacentral:rRNA from 1 species
GUGAAAGCAGAGCUUGCUCUGUGGAUCAGUGGCGAACGGGUGAGUAACACGUGAGCAAUCUGCCCCUGACUCUGGGAUAAGCGCUGGAAACGGCGUCUAAUACCGGAUACGAGCUGCGAAGGCAUCUUCAGCAGCUGGAAAGAAUUUCGGUCAGGGAUGAGCUCGCGGCCUAUCAGCUUGUUGGUGAGGUAACGGCUCACCAAGGCGUCGACGGGUAGCCGGCCUGAGAGGGUGACCGGCCACACUGGGACUGAGACACGGCCCAGACUCCUACGGGAGGCAGCAGUGGGGAAUAUUGCACAAUGGGCGAAAGCCUGAUGCAGCAACGCCGCGUGAGGGACGACGGCCUUCGGGUUGUAAACCUCUUUUAGCAGGAAAGAAGCGAAAGUGACGGUACCUGCAGAAAAAGCGCCGGCUAACUACGUGCCAGCAGCCGCGGUAAUACGUAGGGCGCAAGCGUUAUCCGGAAUUAUUGGGCGUAAAGAGCUCGUAGGCGGUCUGUCGCGUCUGCUGUGAAAACCCGAGGCUCAACCUCGGGCCUGCAGUGGGUACGGGCAGACUAGAGUGCGGUAGGGGAGAUUGGAAUUCCUGGUGUAGCGGUGGAAUGCGCAGAUAUCAGGAGGAACACCGAUGGCGAAGGCAGAUCUCUGGGCCGUAACUGACGCUGAGGAGCGAAAGGGUGGGGAGCAAACAGGCUUAGAUACCCUGGUAGUCCACCCCGUAAACGUUGGGAACUAGUUGUGGGGUCCAUUCCACGGAUUCCGUGACGCAGCUAACGCAUUAAGUUCCCCGCCUGGGGGAGUACGGCCGCAAGGCUAAAACUCAAAGGAAUUGACGGGGACCCGCACAAGCGGCGGAGCAUGCGGAUUAAUUCGAUGCAACGCGAAGAACCUUACCAAGGCUUGACAUAUACGAGAACGGGCCAGAAAUGGUCAACUCUUUUGGACACUCGUAAACAGGUGGUGGCAUGGGUUGUCGUCAGCUCGUGU